rnacentral:rRNA from 1 species
CGUCGUGGGCGCAGGAGAUUUGAGGGGAGCUUUCCCUAGUACGAGAGGACCGGGAAGGACGGACCUCUGGUGUACCGGUUGUUCCGCCAGGAGCAUUGCCGGGUAGCCAAGUCUGGAUGAGAUAAGCGCUGAAAGCAUCUAAGCACGAAGCCAACCCCAAGAUUAGAUCUCCCAUCUUUCGAUUCGUCAAAAGAGUAAGGUCUCCCGUAGACUACGGGGUUGAUAGGCCGCAGGUGUAAGCCCCGUAAGGGGUUCAGCUGAGCGGUACUAAUCGACCGAGGACUUGACCCA